rnacentral:rRNA from 1 species
UACAGAGGCCUCGAGCGUUAGGCGGAAUCACUGGGCUUAAAGCGUGUGUAGGCGGAUGCCUAAGUACCUUGUGAAAUCCCACGGCUCAACCGUGGAACUGCUGGGUAUACUGGGUGUCUUGGGUCAGCUAGGGGUUGCCGGAACAAAUGGUGGAGCGGUGAAAUGCGUAGAUAUCAUUUGGAACGCCAAUGGCGAAAGCAGGCAACUGGGCUGUACCGACGCUGAGACACGAAAGCCAGGGAGCGAACGGG